CUGUGCUGCGCAAAGCAAAAGCCUCACUGUACCUAGUUGUACAAAGGAAGAAGCCUGGAGGGUUUGCAGCCCAGCACUUCAGUUCUGGGCUGGAAAACACACAGGCAGCCACAUAAUGCCAAUCUCUUGGGUGAGGAUAAAACUAUGUUGGAUGAAAAACUAAAGCAGUGGACAGGAAGGCAGUGCACUAAAUCCAUCUCUUUCUGCUGCUUGUCCCUCUGCCUGGAUCUUGCUGCUCCUGCUAUACAAUGAACUGAAACUCAGCGUGGUUAAAAGAGCUGCUUCCUCCUCCUAGGCUGGUGCAUUUGCAGACACCAACAAGGAGUUCAGUGUUUACAUGCCACAGCCCAAGAAAUCAUUUGGAGUUCUUGGGACUGAAAUCAGCUCAUGCUGGGUGAGGACUGUCGUGUAGGAUCUUUCUACAUUGUUCUUGAAGAUCUGGUCCUUCCUGGAGAAGUAAACUGUGAAUUUGAGGAGAUGUCAAUAUGACCAUUAAUUGAACUUCUAGUACAACUGAUGGCUUACAAAGCCAGCACAAGCAAGAUUCUUGUCCAAGAACACACAAAAUAGCUGAAAAGAUUGAAUCAGAUUUGACUCAAGGCCCAGAAUCCAGAGAAAGAGAUUGAAAAUAUGCUCUAAUACCUCUCAUUUAAUCGCAUUAGUAUUUCUUUAUUUCUUCCCUCAGCAUAUUUUUUCAGCCACAGGAGGAGAGUCCCUCCAGGAGGUCAUUGUUAAUAAACUGAAAAGUGUGUUUCAUGUACUUCUGACUGAUCAACAUCAAGGACUAGUUCCAGGCAUACAAUAAUCCAACCUCACAUUAACAGUGAUUAACAAUGUCCACUUUAAUAAUGGUCAGGAAUGCAGGCUCUCUUCCCCACCACUUCGAAGGAUUUUGGCUGUAAAAGGGUCCAAUAUUUCAAGGUCACCUCAACAGUCUAAAGUUUGGAGGUAAUUUACUCUUUCAUUGACACAGCCUUGCACAAGGUUAAGGGGUGUUUUAAUCCAGGUGAAAACAGGCUACCCUCUCCUCAGCCAGAUGAAGGCAGCUGCUAGGGCCCCAGUUUCCAGAACCAUAAGAGAAACUAAGAGUCUUACCUUUCUUAUUAUGAAUGCUAGCCUGGAGGCUGCUUUAGAAGAGUAAAAGAAGGUUGCAGACCUCUUUUACAAUCAUAGAGAUCACUGCAGAAAAAAUGCAGAAAACAUCUCUAUGGUACCUCACCUGCCUGAAACUCAGGGACUCCAACACCUGCUUCUACAAGUCCUUAACGAGACAACUUAGAAACUCCCAUCUACUUCAUCAUGAGCAACACUGGGGACCUUCUAAGGGGAUUUCUAUAGCCAAGUAAGCAUCAGCCAUGGGGAGGUGGAAUCAUGUGAGUGGUCAGUGAAUCAGCCUCCUUAAGACACAAUGCCUGUGUAACUGGACAUUCCCAAGCAGAAGAUUUGGGGGAGAAAGAGCACAAGGAUUCUCACUGUGAGAGAAGCAAUACCAGGGGAAGCACAGCCCUUUGCAUGAAGCAGAAGCUGACGUUUUCUGGGAAUCCACAGAACAAAGGAGGCUGAGAGAGCAGCCAAAGAAUCAUGAGAGACCUCUAAGCUGCUCCUGUUUUGCUCCCUUUCUGAUUCCAGACUGGGGAUCUGGACUGGCAGGGUCCAGAGAUGCCUCCAGCUCUGACCCCUUGCUCCUCUCCCUUCUCCAGCUGGGCCCAAGCAGCUCAGUCACUGUGUGGGACUCAGAGCUGGAGUGAGUUGAAGGCUGUAGCAGAAGGGAGAUCCCACUGUAGACAGAGGCCUCUGCAGAACUCUCUGACCCUGACCCCACAUGAAAGCCAUUUCUCCAAAACCCUCUCACCCAUGCUCAAGAGAACAGCCCAGCCACUCCCCUCAACAAGCCAUCCUCUGUUGUGAAGCCCACACUCUUGGAUUUAGAUGGUGAAAGUGUCCUGCACUCCAGGAGUCAUGCAGUCACCAAAAAACUGAAGUUAGAGAUUCUGAAAAGAAAAAGAAAAAAAAAGAAAACCCAAAACCAAGUAGAAGUAAACCAACAGUUGUUCUCAACUGAGUUCCAGGCCAGAAAGAAAGAAAUUACAUGAUUUACAGAGGGUUCUCAAGCAAUCAUUAGCAGGGCUGAGACCUGAGACCCAAAUAUUCAAUCCCAGCCUCAUGCAUUUUUUAACUCUUGGGCAUACCAGAGUCUUGGUAAACAAGUAACCCUUGUUUCUGCAGCUGCUGCUUUUAGGCUGGAAGCAGUUCUCCUCUAUCUCGCCCCAUGUGUCUGUUCCCAUUAAUACCAAUUUUAAAAGAACUUGGCUGCUUUUCCAUUGCCAUCCUUGCUGCCAGCCAUAUACCAUUAAACAUAAAAAAUAAGAGGCUUUAGUUGUAAUUGUGGCUUCACCUUUUUUGUAGAGAAGACAUCCCAUGAAGACUGACACAGCUGAAUACCUGCCUAAGCACACCAAUUCUCUCAGCAGGAAUUUUCAGAGAGAAAAACUAAAUUGUAGCUGUAUAAUACAUUGAGCAGACAAUGCCAGUGAUUAUCCAGCAAAGUGAGACCAAAAAGCACCAGCAGUGCUGACUUCCAAAGGGGCAUAAAGUGUUCUGACGAGUUACCCUGCAAAAGAUGACAAGGCCCUUCAAGACCACAUGUAUUUUGUCCCUUUCACUCUGGCUUCUCUGC